ACUAUGGUUAAUGAUGUGUAAACUUUUUUCCCCAUCUUAUCGACAAUGCUGAUAACUGAAAUUAAGCCAAUAAUGACUGAAACCAUAGU